GACGAACGCUGGCGGCGUGCUUAACACAUGCAAGUCGAACGCUGAAGCUCAGCUUUUGUUGGGUGGAUGAGUGGCGAACGGGUGAGUAACACGUGAGUAACCUGCCCCCUUCUUUGGGAUAACGCCCGGAAACGGGCGCUAAUACUGGAUAUUCACUGGUCUUCGCAUGGGGGUUGGUGGAAAGGGUUUUUCUGGUGGGGGAUGGGCUCGCGGCCUAUCAGCUUGUUGGUGGGGUGAUGGCCUACCAAGGCUUUGACGGGUAGCCGGCCUGAGAGGGUGACCGGUCACAUUGGGACUGAGAUACGGCCCAGACUCCUACGGGAGGCAGCAGUGGGGAAUAUUGCACAAUGGGCGCAAGCCUGAUGCAGCGACGCCGCGUGAGGGAUGGAGGCCUUCGGGUUGUGAACCUCUUUCGCUCAUGGUCAAGCCGCAACAAUGGUUGUGGUGAGGGUAGUGGGUAAAGAAGCGCCGGCUAACUACGUG
rnacentral:rRNA from 1 species